GACGAACCGUGCAAACGUUGUUCGGAAUCACUGGGCUUAAAGGGCGCGUAGGCGGGCCAGCCAGUCUGUGGUGAAAGCCUCCAGCUUAACUGGAGAAGUGCCGUGGAUACUGCUGGCCUCGAGGAGGGUAGGGGCAUCUGGAACGGUCGGUGGAGCGGUGAAAUGCGUUGAUAUCGACCGGAACUCCGGUGGCGAAGGCGAGGUGCUGGGCCCUUUCUGACGCUGAUGCGCGAAGGCCAGGGGAGCAAACGGG
rnacentral:rRNA from 1 species